rnacentral:snoRNA from 1 species
GAGCAAAUGAUGAUUCAUAUGAUUAUUGUGAUACAUUUGAUGUUUCAGAAUUGAGCUUUCUAAACCUGAUGCCCA